rnacentral:tRNA from 1 species
GCGGAAAUGGCGAAACUGGCAGACGCACCAGACUUAGGAUCUGGCGCCGAAAGGCAUGGAGGUUCAAGUCCUCUUUUCCGCACCA